GAUGAAUAAGGUUUCAUUAUGCAAAAAUCUUUAUUUAUAUUUGUUCUCACUUUAAUGUAUUCCCAUCAACAAGCUUUCUGUGUGUGAUCGUGUCAUUUUUCAAUAAUAUUUUUAAGAGGAAAAUGAAUGAAAAUGACUGAACAAACUAGUGCAUGCACCUUUCUGGUUUAAUUGCAUUUUUGUUUUCAUGUAAGUGUGUUUACUGAGAUUGAAAAUUUAUCUACCUUUUUUUGUGCUGACAAUAAUUUUUGGUGGUUCAUGCACUUCACAG
rnacentral:misc_RNA from 1 species